AAGAGAGAGAGAGAGAGAGAAAAUACAACAACUUCAUCUUCUUCCUUUCAUGCUCUCUCUCUUCCACCACUUUGCUCCACCACCGAAGGCGGCAAAGUUGCCCGGACCAGUCAAGUUGCAACAUAAAAAAUGCCCCUCUACAUCUCCUCUUUUUAAAUAUCUCAUGAAUUUGGUUCAACACUCCACUAAUUUUCAUAAUUGAAGCAAGAAAGUCAUGAACCCUAACUAUGAAAGCUAAAAUUAAAUGGCAUAGGUGAAUCAUCGAGCCACCAAACCUUGGGACUUUGAUUCUUCAAUGCAAGAGCUACAAUGUGGUAUCAAGUUUCAAGAAAACAGAGGCAAAAGAAAAUUCACCGACCUGCAAGAUGGAGGUUUGUCUUGGAAAUUGUUGAAUUCUGAAGAUUAAGAAGAUGAAGAAAACCAGAGGUGUAACCGGUUACCCUGCUGUUGCUGACAGGUUACCAACACGAAAACAGACAUUCUAAGGGGAGGGGGUUGGUUGUGCAGAGCAGGCGUAACCGGUUACACUAUUUUAUGUUAGGGUUAUCGACACGAAAGUUAGGAUUCUGGGCUACUAGAAGUGAGGAAAUCGUAGGUGUAACCGGUUACACUAUGUGUAACCAGUUACCAACAUGCAAAAAUGGCAUUUUAGCUGCUGGAAUGGCAUGCAUGGCACGUGUAAUCGGUUAUCUGAUUCUUGGUCUGGUGCAUGGUAUGAACGAUAUUCUAACACAUCAUGGAAGCUCAAACAUGGAGGACUCAUGAAGGGAUGAAGCACAUGGUGUCUAGGAUGGUCAGUUGACUUUGGUCAACCAUUUGACCAAAAGUCAACGGUUGACUAAAAGUCAAUUGUGGGUCAAAUGAUGUAAAAUAGUGUAGAUUUGGUCUUCUAGAACCCAUUUGUAAUGGAAUAGGAUGUUUUUGUAAUGAAAAAGUCAUUUUGCAAUGUCUUGUGUUGAAAAUCUGAACUUGUACUUGAAUGAAACUUGCAUGAAACAUGAAUUAUUUGACUUGA